CACUCAUUUUGCCGCAGUGUCCACAGUUUCCUCGCGUAGAGAGUGAGAAUAUACGGUAGAUUGGUUUCCCUCGGUUCAUCGUCGUAGCAUAGGUUCUGCAAGGAUCGAGUCCAGCGCUAUUGAGAGAGGAAGAAACCCGGCCAGGAUAAAGGAGCGUGGUAAUUUUGCAGUACGAUUUCUAUUUGAUCGGGAGAAAUUUCCCAGCUUUUCCCAUGCUAAUUGGUGGAAAAAUAGCAGGGAGUUUCAAGCUGCCCCACAGAUCAAGUUGAUCAACUUUGAUUCCGCCUGAGGGUUGUUCUCAGUGGCAAAAUAAUGUCACUAAAUGAAGUAUUUGAACAAGCAGAUGCAGAGCAGAUUUCCCAAAGGCAAAUAUUAAACAUUACUCUACUAGCAAGUGAAUGGAAGUCAUCAGCUGGUGGUUUGUCAACG